GUUUCGGUAGCUUAGUUGGUUAAGCACUCGUCUAGCAUAAAAGAGUAGUGGGUUCGAAUCCCACUUGAGCA
rnacentral:tRNA from 1 species